CUUUGUUGUUGAAGUUGGGUAUAUGUGUACUUAAUCCGAAUAUUCUGCUCAAAUCCAGCUAAAGAAUCUCAAGCUUAUUUCAUUUUAACUUUGACAUCUGAACUAUUGCAAACCAGCAUUAUAUGCAAAUAGUUCAAGUAUAUGUAAACCCGGAUCAUUUUAAAACCGUAAGAUUGUGUUGGCAGGAAGGAGUGCCACUGCAUGCUCUUUCUCACUCCUGACAAUGAUUUUGCUGGACCGGAACAGACCAUCUCCUUGGAAGAGAUCAGAGAAUCAACAGCAAACAUGUAAUAAGCUUUAGUGUGUAUUGAAAAGUAUGUGUAAACAGUCCACUUCUGUAUUUGUGAAAGGAAAAAAAAAAUUGGGUUAAUCGUUUUAUUAGUCUUUGAACUUA